AAAAAACCCUCGCUGUAAGAACUAAACUCACCCUCUUUUCUACCGAACUCGGCCAUUUCGACGAUUUGUUACAUCUCCCUCUAAAAAUCCCAUAAGUUCGCUCCAAAACCCUGAAAUUCCUCGCAGUCUGAUCUCGAUUUCAAGCGCCGAUCCCUACAAUCACCCUUCAUAUUUGUUGAUUUAAUUUGAUUUUCCGAUCGAUCGAAGAGAUCGAGAAGUUCUUUCCUCAAAAUAGUUUUUUUUUUUUCUAUCUUCCGGUUUUUCUUGGUCGAGAGGCGUUGGAUUAGGGUUUCUGAUCUUCCACCUAGGGUUUUUGAGAGCAUCAACAAUGCCUUCGGUGCUUAGAGAUUUCCUCUGCCACUCGAUGACGAUGCUCUGCACGACGUCCUUCCAUGGCAGAUCUUGCUCUCAUCGCCUGAAAUAGUUGGAGAAAUGGAAUCGGCGAGAAAUGAAGUGACUUGAGAUCGAGUGAUCCGAAACUUUCAUCUUUUUUGUUGUUCCUGAAUUGGAGCAAUAUCAGGAAAUUCAAGAUCAAGAUAUUGGAGAUUGGAAUCAACUUGCCUUGAAUCGGAUCCUGUUCUUGCAAUGACAACGAACUCUUGAGAAUUUGUAAUUACCACGCGAGGGGAAGCUGUAAGAAUUCAACAAUGCAAAGGACAGGUUUUUGCUUUGCAGGAUGAACCAGAGGUCGAGUCGAAGCAUGCCCACCCUAUUGCCUGUUGGUCUCAUCUUCUAUUUUGUGAUUGUUAUUUUGCUGAGGAGAUGCUGCAGUUAUUUUCAGUGCCAGCUGACGUACGAUUUUGCCUAUUUGGCUGUAUGGGGCUGUGACUGCGUGGAAGGCUAUAGUGCAACUCCCAGUCUCUAGCUUGUUCAUGUGCGUUUGUUUGUUUCGAAAACUUUAAAUAGACCAUUAACUUUUUUGUUGGUAUUGUGUUGAUUGUUUUAUGUAUUGAUGAAUGCUAAAUGGAUGAAAUAUGCGUAGGUUUAAUCA